rnacentral:rRNA from 1 species
UGGGGAAUCUUGCACAAUGGGGCAACCCUGAUGCAGCGACGCCGCGUGAGCGAUGAAGCCCUUCGGGGCGUAAAGCUCUUUCGACCGGAACGAUAAUGACGGUACCGGGAGAAGAAGCUGCGGCUAACUACGUGCCAGCAGCCGCGGUAAUACGUAGGCAGCAAGCGUUGUUCGGAGUUACUGGGCGUAAAGAGUGCGUAGGCGGUUUUCUAAGUUCGGUGUGAAAUCUCCCGGCUUAACUGGGAGGGUGCGCCGAAGACUGGGAAGCUGGAGUGUGGGAAAGGCAGGCGGAAUUCCUGGUGUAGCGGUGAAAUGCGUAGAUAUCAGGAGGAACACCGGCGGUGUAGACGGCUUGCUAGACCAUAACUGACGCUGAGGCACGAAAGCGUGGGUAGCAAACA